rnacentral:misc_RNA from 1 species
ACAUUAAAAUUUAAUGCAACCUAUUCUGCAGCAUGCAAACAUUUUGUUUUUGUUCUUAUAUAACAUAAACUGUGCCAUAUAUCAUAUCUCAUGAGCGUCUGUCAGGGAAAAAGGAGAAGACUUGUAUAUCAACCUGACGGAAACAUCUUAUCUUCUUGCUAUCACUGUUAAUGUUGAAAUUUUAAGUUUGUUUAUCAGUGUGAAUGGAACCUUUUAAAUUUUCUGAUAUGGUGUAUAAUUAAUACAACUUUUAUGUUGACAUUGCAUUAAUAGUGUUAAAGUUUGUUUAUCAGUAUGAAUGGAACCUUUUAAAUUCUCUGAUGUCGUGAUGAAUUAAGACAAAUUUAUGUUGAAUACGUAUCUCUUGCUGGUUGUAAAUUUGUAAUCGACCUGUGUUGAGAACUGGAACUUUUAUUUAUUUAUUUAUCAUGUCAAUAUGGUAUCCAACAUAUUAUGUUAGUAGUGCAGUUAUUUGCUUUAUAGUGAAUAUAACCUUCUUUUAUGUAAGAAUUGGCAAUAAACUUUCAAACAGAUUUAACGUUUUCUCUCACUCACACAGAUUUGGGCUUUUGGAGGCCAUA